rnacentral:rRNA from 1 species
AUACGGAGGGUGCGAGCGUUAAUCGGAAUUACUGGGCGUAAAGGGUGCGUAGGCGGCUUGAUAAGUCGGAUGUGAAAGCCCCGGGCUUAACCUGGGAAUUGCAUUCGAUACUGUCAGGCUAGAGUAUGUCAGAGGUUGGCGGAAUUCCUGGUGUAGCGGUGAAAUGCGUAGAUAUUGGAAAGAACACCAGUGGCGAAGGCGGCUCACUGGCUCGAUACUGACGCUGAGGUACGAAAGCGUGGGGAGCAAACAGGAUUAGAUACCCCAGUAGUCC